UACGAAGGGGGCUAGCGUUGUUCGGAAUCACUGGGCGUAAAGCGCACGUAGGCGGAUCUUUUAAGUCAGAGGUGAAAUCCCAAGGCUCAACCUUGGAACUGCCUUUGAUACUGGGGAUCUUGAGUCCGGGAGAGGUGAGUGGAACUGCGAGUGUAGAGGUGAAAUUCGUAGAUAUUCGGCGGAACACCAGUGGCGAAGGCGACU
rnacentral:rRNA from 1 species